ensembl:lncRNA
CCUCCUUCCAAUCCCCCCUCCGUCCCUCCCUCCCUGCUCACUAACUUCAGACAGUGUUGUGUCCUUCGGAGGGGAAAGAUGACUGCACCUUCAGCAUCACAGCAGGAUGCUGGCGAGCUAUAUUUAGAGCCGGGUCGGAAAGGUAGUGCACAGACAUAAACACAAACUUUAGGAUGUCCAGCUGUGUUGAUACAGCAUCCGAAAAUGGUGGAUCAACCGUGUGAGGCCGAUUUAUUGUUUUGACUGAGCUGUGGGAACCUGCAGCGCUGCUGUUUGCUAAAGGUGUUAAUGGAAAUGCCCCCCCCCCACUACAAACAACGGUCAUCACAAAUAUUCUGUAUUUUCAAACGUAAGGACAUUUUUUGUCGUUUCUGGCGUUAUUUCUGCACCAUUGUAGAACAGUGUUGCAAAGACGACCAAGCCAACCAGACACGUGCGCGUUUCUUCGCUGUUGCAACCUUGUGGCGGCACCCAAAACGCGCCGUCUCCCCCUGUAGAAUCGCCUUAUUUACUCUCCAUCAUAUUACUGUCAGGCUGCAAGCGGCUCCGGUUACCGCCAACGUCCAAGCAAGGAGGCCUCCAGCGCGGGUCAAAGCUCCCAGGCAACCAUUCCUCCUCUUUAAUCAGUGCGAGGCUACGAAUUUGUUCAUAAUUAAUAGGCUUUUGUCAAUUUAUUCAGAGCAGAGAGAAUUUACAAAAACUGUCAUGCUGCUCGCUGGUUUUCACUCUGAAGCACGUGGUUAAAACGAAUCGCUGAGUUCGCCCUCAAAGUGCACACACAGAUCACGGUGCGCUGCUCCGUUAAUGCCGAACGCACCGCCCGACAAUAAGGAGAUUGUUUGUGAGCUUUCAACAUGUUUACCCCCGAUUGAGUCCUGCCACGCGGACGUUUCUCCACCAAUUAGCCGCCUCGUUUCAUAGCAGAGCUGCUGUAGGUGGCAGACGUGGCCAGAAGCGACCUCUUUAAUUUGGCUCGAGAGACGGGUUUGAUCGGCGGUUUUCUCCAUUCACGGUCCAACAAAUUAGAUGUGUGUCAACAAUAUAAUCUCAAUUUCAUUAUUCAUAUAACCACAUGUAAUCCCUUUGUGUCCCUGAGCCGGGGGGGAAUAUAAUCAGAUAUCAGGUUCCACUAUGACACCGAACUAAAACCGUGCAGCCAAUCUUCCAUCUGUUAGGAAAAACCUAUUGUUGAGUCCUGCUCCUCCCCCACCACCAACAAACACCACCCUUCUCUCUCUCUCUCUCUCUCACAUUACAAAAUGACCUUUUUUUGACUUUUACCCCGUUGAUAUUCAAAAGGGAGAAUUAAUAUUUAACGUGAGAAAGGCCGAUCUAUCCAGAUGGCCGCUCAAGUACAGCAAAAACGAGAACAAAACGCAGCAUCAAUAUUUCAGCCGGCCUUACCUCCGGUGUGUGUGUGUGUGUGUGUGUGUGUGUGUCCCCCUGCAGCCAGGAGGAUAUGCACACAUUCACGCAAACACCACGCGUGCACUGAUGGAGCAAUAUGCGUCUUUGCCGUGGCAGCGGGGAGCUCAGGGCCUCGCCGCGGCCUUCAGGUGGGAGACGGGCCGGCUCCGAUAGAGGAGGGCUGACGGGUGGGGGCCCAAGUACACCAUCAAACGUUUUAUCAGACACGAUGGAAACGCCGACUGGCCGGUUUACCCGCCGCCUUUUAGACUGACGUUGACGUUCCCUCUGGCUCCAUCAUCCGUUCCAAAUUUCAAUUUUCCCCAAAUUUUAUUUAUUGAGGUGUGAGUAGGUAAAAAAAAGGACGUGCUGUCAAUAUCUUAACUUUGAACUAAUAUAUUACUGCGAUUAAUCUACCGCAUCAAACAGAAAUGGAUUAUUAAUUAUUAUUAACAGAUUAUUUUGCAUCGCUGGCUUUGAGAGAUUUCCAGGGUUUGCUUGAUUUAAAAGGAUCACUGUAGGUCAAAGAAAAAAGGUGUUUUUUUUUUUUCCCCCCCACAGAAAAUUCUGGUUAUUAGAGCGUUGGCAACGCCCUCGGCUACAAAUGUCUUUGAUUAAAAAAGAUGGGGAGGAGGGGAUCAGCUCUUGGCAAGUUGGUCAUAAUUAAAGCCAGCAUUGUGUAAGGUGUGUGGGUGUGUGCACGCACAGAUGAGGAGGAGGAAGAAGGGAUGGAGGAGAGGGGGUGAGGCUGAAUUAGUGCCCGCUGGUUUGGCCUGGCAGCUGCUCUCUGGCCCUGGCGCGCUGACAGCCUGGCACGGCGGCGGCGGCGGCGUGUUGUCAGGGCCGACCAGCAGACUGUUGGGGAGGCGGCAACGUCAGGCGCACCAAACACACACACACACACACACACACUCUUUCACCACAGAGGGCUUUGUCUUCCCACCAGGACCUGCGUUACUUGUCGUGGCAAUAUCAUUGGAUUAGUACGAGAUUAAGCCGGGUAAUUAAAAAGGGCAAAUGGCAUUCAAGUCGCACGGGACAAUGUGAAUGUCAUCUUAGACUUUUGAGAUUUAACCUUGAUGAAAAAUGGGACCAUUCUGCUUUAUUUAAGCAGUGUUCUAGAAACAACCAGGUGUCCGAGCUCAUCGAAAGCUCUAAAUGUAAAAUGGAACGUGAUCCUCAAAGCGAUGCCAAGCGUUUUGUAGAUUCCUGGAGCCCGAUGGGAUUAUAAUGACGAGAAAUGGAACAAAUAACUGAAAACGUUUUAACCAUGACGUAUUCAAAUUAAAAAAAGCAAUUCAUCUGGCUAUUUCCUGAGCUGCUGAGAGUGUCAUCGGCGUUUAUUGAGUCAUGAACCCCCCCUCGCGUGGCGGGGCCGUGACGGCCUGGGGUUUGGGUGGAUUCUGGGCCCGUCUUGGCCCAGAUGCAGCGUCUUCUGUCCAGGCCCGAUAUCCGUGGGCCCCCGAGAGCGCCAGCUGCUGUCGCCGUGUCGCAGACAGCUGUAUCUGAAUAUUCAUACGGAGCGUGGAUUAAUGUGUGCUCGUUUGGCCCCACAUGGCACCCAGUCGCACGGGCCAAAGUGUGCAAAGGCCCCCAAAAGUCACCGGUCCAAAAGCACGCCGCCACUGCAGCGUGAAUGGAAAGUCCUACGGACCCUCGAAGAGAGAGGGACACGAUGGAGGGACAUAAUCAGGAGUCUUUUUUUGGGGGGGGAGUUUUUCCUGUGCCGAUGGUGGGUUUCGGGACAGAGGAUGUCGUAUGUGUACAGACUGUAAAGCCCUCUGAGACAAAUUUGUUAUUUGCGAUUUUGGGCUAUACAAAAUAAAAUGAAUUUAAUCAGGAAUCAGGAAACAUUUAUUGCCAAAAUAUGUCGUACAUACAAGGAAUUUGACUUGGCGGUUGGUGCGUGACAGUAGACGGUAUAACAAUGGACAACAAGACAGCAGUGCACGAGUAAUAAAAUAAAAUAAAAUGAUAAUUCUAUGGGUUAGUAGAAUAAGGCUAUGGGUUAGUUUAAAAUAAGGGAAAGAUAAAAAUUUAAAAUAUUAAAAAAAAUUAAAAAAUAAAAUCAAACGGAACCGUCGAUUGUUUUCGCUAAUGCUUCAGCUAUCGCUAAGUCCACUUCUGCACAUUCAGAGCCACGGCCACCUUCCACCGCGCCGGCUCAGUCCGCCCCGGCCUUCUUUGGGAUUUGUUCUGGCGGGAGUUCAGGCGGGCGGUUGGUGCAGUAAUCUGCUGGCCGACUGCAAUAGAAUCCGUGAAUGUGUUUUUGAGGCAGAAGUAUAAAACGAGCAGAUGGCCUUUGCUUCCCUGCUUGAAUAGGUAGGAGUGAACCAGUGGGCACGCCGAGGGAGAUUUGUGGGUAAACUGUUUUACCUCCCCUCUCUUUGUGUCGUGUCGGGAAAGGCGAAAUGGUUUGCUGACUGCUGGCGGACAAAGGCCCGGCUCUAAUGAGAGCCAAGUGUUUUGGUGCUGCUGGUGUAAUGGGGAUGAAGUGGGGCAGCUAAUUAUCGCAACCAUCUGAAGGCAUCAGAGGAAGGCCAGCCUGCUUUUCAUGUCCGACGUCACGCAACACGGUCGCUACUGUCCACUAUUUUCUGAUUCACCGCUCGGCGAGUGAAACCACGAGGUGAGCGCGUGCGUUUAGUCUGUUUGUUCAGGCGUGUGUGCUACCGACCUCGCCGACCCUGAGGGCCAGUUAGGCCGACACGAUUACCAGUGACGCACGCUGUAAAACCCGCGGGCCGCGAACGCCUCCAUUCUCACUGAUGGGGAUCUUUGUGGCAGCCAUGUUUGUUUGGUAGAUGUCUCACUGAUUUAUGGAGGAGACGCUGUGUGUGUGUGUGUGUGUGUGUGUGUGUGUGUGUGUGUGUGUGUGUGUGUGCGCGCCACUCGCCCACAGCUGGAUCCCUGUUCGUCUUUUAAUUAACAGCCAUGCUUUUCGAAGACGUUACAUCUUUCUAAUUGAACCCUUGAACAACCUCCAAAACAAGCUGCAUUUUCUUUUCUGAUUGACUAUUGGUUAAUUACAGAGUGGGUUUUAUCCUUGAAUAAGCAGAAUUAGUACACAAUCUCCUCAUCAACAACAGGCUUGCAGUGAUUGCUGAACCGAUGCCCAGAGUCAAACUGGAUGGUGGCGAUGUGGAGUGGACGCGACACAAAAACACCCCAAUUAAAACAAUCAGGGGGCAGAAAUGAGCUUGUUGGAUAAUCAGUACAAGGUCGUGGGAGACAAUGACAUUCUACAAAAGCGAACAUAGAAGUAGUUUGAGUGGAUUUUCCUCUUUGAGAAGUCGGUGCUUUUUUGACUCAUUCUCAUGUACGCAUAAAAAAUACUUUACAUUGUGUAAAUAAAGAUAAGAGCCACACGCUAUUUCAUCUUUUGAGAUUGGUGGCUGCGGAGUGUGGGUGUAACAGAGACCACAGAGCCCUAAAAGGAGACAUUUUUGCCUCAAGUCUCUCAGUUUCCCAUCAUGCCUCUGCGUUUGCUGCCGGUGGCAGCAGGGCCAGAGCACUUUCCCCUCAUUACCAGGGCUCCAGAGGAAAAAGGGAAACAAAAUGGUUUCCAGGUUUUUACUUCAAUCUGAGAAGAGGGAGGGGUGAGAAGUACUGUUUGGGAGGGGAGGGGGGGUCAGCCACAGGUACGCCGGGCUGUGGGAAACCAGGAGUGGGUCGUAGUGACGUGACAUGAUGCAUAUAAAAGAUUUUUUCCUGCCUCAUCCUGCAAACACACACACACACACACACACACAAACGGCAUUUGCUGGUUUGCAUGUUUCACGAGUCAGAUUAUCAGUCGUACAUGAAUCUUUCAUGCAUCGUUCUCGGGUUGUCAACCAGAGUCGGCCAUGAGAACAAUGAGCAUUGUGAUGUCUGACAGUGACAAACUCCCCGCUGUGAGUUACACCGGGGGGGGGGGGGAUGACACCCUUUCAGGGGGAGGGAGGGGUGCAGGCUACAAAAGGGAAAUGACACAAUGUCUAAAUUUCGUUGUGCGACUGAGAAGAUUACAGCACGGCUGUAAGUUUUCGGUAAGAUUUGAGUCAGCGGGUUUUCAUGGCGCCAUGACGUCACUUACAGACGAUGUCAUCUGAUGCCACGUCUUUUACAGUGGAAAAGUAAACGUGUGUCGUAACGUAAAGGCACGUAUUUAACACUCGUUUAAACCGUUCGGCACACUCGGCAGGCAGGACCGUCGAGCAGAACUCCCGCAUUGUCCCCCGGCCGUAUUGUCCGAGGAGGAGCCGCGCUGUCUACGGAGGGUCCCAUUCUCCUUUGUGCCCUGAUAGGUUUACCAGCAGAGAGUCCCUCUCUCCCAAAGGACAAACAGGAAACCCGGCUGAAUGUGGCCCUGAUGCUUAUCGGUCUUUCUCCUGGCUACUGUCGGUGCUUUGGAUGUUGGAUGCCGUUGUUAGGACAGUCCGUGCAUUCAGACUGUUGCCGCGUGGCCUAUACAGCAAAUUAAGAAAAAGAAAAAACAUUUUGGGAGAUCAGAUCUCCUUUUAGUCUGUGAACGAAUAGUUGAUGCACCAACAUUCCCACGGGCCAAUCUGAAAUCUUCCUUUAUUCAUCAUUAUUGCAUUCGGUCGAGAAUCUAAAGCAAAAACAUCCACCUCACACACGUCCCGUCCAACGAAGCUCUGAGCCGACCCAGCAGAGCUGUCGCAUCUUAUUCGUUUGCUUUCUGCAACAGAUACACCCGAAGGACAAGAACAAAAGAGACCCAACACACAUUGUGGGACUUUCAAGUAUUAUCCAUCCCUGGAGAUUUCCAUUUUUGUCCGUAAGGAAAUCAAGAAAUGCACAGCUAAUUCAAAAUGAGACAUGCACCAUUUGCUCCUGUACAAAACUGGAAGCACUGAUACAAUGUGACAAAACCCAAGCAAACGUGCUCGCCUUGGCGUAAACAAUCGAAGCCAGAGAACAAUCCACUCUCUUAUAAGGGAGGCACUUCCUUCUGAUUUCCUCUACACUUGCAGUAAUGUUUUACAGCGGGGGGGGGGGGGUUGUUUUUCUACGGAAUCACGGCCAUUUUUCACGCUUCUGAUGACUGCCAGGGUCCCUUUUCCCCUCGCAGCGCUUCGUUAUGCGCUUCUGUGUGUAUCAGGGGUUGUGUGCUUAAGUUAGCCGAUUCCCAGCAUAGUUCAGCCGUGUACGCACGGGGUAGCGGGGAGCGCCUCGGCUGCAAACGGGACCUUUUGCAGGGGGGGGGGGCUACAGGCGUAUAGUUCGGGGUGGGGGGGGGGGUUGUUCCCAUGUCACAGCUACAGGGCAUCCUGAUGCUGCAGGGCCAACUUUGCCUGCGUGUUUUUAUUCUCUGGCGGCUCUGACUCUUCGGAGACCUUUUGACCCCCGGUCCCGAUCUGCUCACUGUCAAUCUCAAUAUCCCCGGCGGUCAUUCCCGUCCAUGGGAACAUUGGCUGUGACAGUAGGACUCCCCCCCGAGGGGAUGCAACAGGGUAUAGAUCCCGACCGAAAAUCCCAGCGACGCCAGAGACGCAUAGUAGGCAUAGCUGAAAAAGAUUCAACUCCCUGCCGGCCUGCGCCUCCCCGCAUGGACCAGGGAGUAGAAGGAUCUGUCAACUCUUCCCAGAAUAGGUCGCUGCAGCGGCAGCUGGAUGAUAUAGGUGAGAGCGUGGCGGCUGAUUAAGGGCCAGGAUGUGCGUGAGACAUCCUCUGAACUUCAGGAAUUCCCUCAUUAAAGCAGAGCGUGUUGAUGCUCAGUGGGAAUCAGCCUGCGGAAUCAACAGGGGAGGUUCUUCCGGCAAUUUUAAACAAACACACUUUUCAUUUAACCAAAUGCACCGUUCCCUUUGUAGUCGGAACUAGAACUUGGUUAGAACGUUUUGCAAUACACGGAACAUUUUCUCCAUUUAGUUAUUACAUAUAACAACCUCUUGCCGUUCAUCAGCUUGUCACAGUGAUGAAUAUGGAAAUACCAAGGUACUGGCGUGGCAUCAAGCGUAAACAGUCAAAUUAGAAAUUCUUCGAGUUGGCCAGUAGUUAAAUGCUCUGGGUAAUAUAUUUUUUUUAAUAGCCCGAAUUGCAGCAAUUACAGAGACCAUUAACGUAUCUGUUCAGUGUACGGUUCAGUGCCGGGGCCACAUCAGGGCCCUCGUUCUGUUGUUGUCUUUUAUCCUCCCCCCCCCCCUCUCCCCAUGUCCGACAAAUCGUUUCCAGCUAAUUUACGGUGGCCAAACCGCGGGAGAACAAUACCCCGCGGACGCGACGCGACGCAACUUCUACCACAUGUCCCAGAGACGAUCGAGGUGCUCGGGGGAAACACUUGCUGAGAUAACAAGAUAGUAAGGAGAGAGAAGGAGGGCGGCUUGUCUGUGGAGGAAAAUGUCCAUCAGGAGGGUGUCGCUAAAGACUAAUGUUGCACCAAAACUGUGAGAAAGAUGUUUACUGUUUUACAAAGUCAUAACCGAUGUGAAAUGCUUCCACGCGUGAGCCGAAGCCUUUCCAGGACACUUUGAUCUCCACCAACAUUAUAGUACAACAAGGGUAUGAACCCAAAAACCAAAGUGUUUGUCUCUGUCGCAGGCACACAAUGCUCAGCUCGGCCCUCCUGGGGAGAACAAACAUUUAACAAAACACCUUAGAUGCACAUCUGCAGAGGUUGAUUUGACUUAGAUAAUCAUUUUUGCAUCUCAUGCGCGCUACAAUUACAGACGGCACCUGUGCCUGGCCCACCUGCCGCCAUCUCCAUGCCAGGCAGCAAUUUAAUUGUAAUUAUAUCAACGGGGGGGGGAAAGGAAACAUCCAGCAGCAAUUCAAUUCAAUAACUUUGCUCUUAGAAAUGCUGUUGUGUAGUGCAGAGAAGCACCGUCUCCCCAGAUCGGGGUUUAGAUCUGGCCAGCUGGGUCAGCGUUGAGCAAUACAGGUGACGCGGGAUCAAGGCUCAAGGAUCAUUCGGGCUAAUUGAUGAGCUUACUUGUUUUCUCAGAGUCUAAGUAUAGGCACGAGGGGGAGGAAGACGGCCUUCAAGGCCGCCCUGUUUGUGCUGUGAGGGCAGGAGUGAGAGGUCAGGCAGGACUUUUUAAGUUUUUAGCGUGUUAAACCAAUCCCCCUGUCGAGGUUCUCCUCCACACGCUCAUUCCGGUGGGAAAGGAGGAACGGCGAAGUGGCGAGCCCUCUUAAGAUCAAUGAACGCGGUGGAAAAAGGAGUGGCCCGGGGGCAGCCAAUGGCGGCCUUGCGACGGGGGGAGCCGCGGGGGAGACUAUGUAAACAAGGAAACAACCUGAUGUGAGCGGGGUCGCUUGAAUGCCCGGGCCCUCCGCACAGGCAGGUGCUUCCUGAGUCUCUGCUCUCUCAAUCAGUCGAGUAUAACUCACAACACCACGGCGAGGUUCAAGGCGGCCGGUGGAAGUAAAGGCAAACGCGCGGUGAAACGCCGCCUGGAAGGCUCUCGAAAGUGAUGCCGAUUGUUCAGGCAGUAGAGAUGAGAGCCCCUCGCUGUCAAACAUACGGUGCACAAGCGUAAACGUGUCUUGCGGAGGGGUCUCGCACCACAGAUAAAGGCAGUCAGGUGACGGCGGCCGAUCGCAGAGGACACCUGAACGUCUCUUCAAAUGCAAUCUCACCGCUCCUACUGCUCUCGCAUUGUCUCUCCUUUCUUCUCAGCUCUGUUGGUUGGUCUGGGAUUGUUUUGUGCUGUCCAAUGAGGAAGGAAGUCGGUGUGAGAAAGUGCCUGUUUUUUUGGGACCAACAGGAAUUGGCCUCAUCACAAGCGGUUCCUUUUUUUGCUGCUGGAACAAUGCACUGGCGUCACACCCCUCGACUGAACCUCGGCAUUUCACAUGGAAAAAUGUUCCCAGAAUUCCGCUCCCAGGCUCGGGGUAAGGCCGAGGAUGGGGCGAGGGCGAGAGGGCGGGAGGUGGAGGGCGGAGGCUAACGACAAAAAAAAAAGUGACCAGUGGACACUUGUCACCACCACAACCAGGGAGAGCAAAGACGGCUUUCCAUUACACACCACACAAUAAAUUCACAAUAAAUUCACACUAAAUUCUAGCUUUCUAUUUUCAACGAAGCCCAACAAAAUAAGAUAAUGAUCACAUAGACACAUGUCAGGUUAAUGUGCCUGAGCGCAAUAGAAUGAGUAACUGUUAGCCUGUUAGCCUGUGCUAUUGCUAUGCUAUUCCUGCUAUCGCAGCCCGGUUAAUAGUUAGACAACAUUUAGUUUUGCUCAAAUAUUGUGGCAGUCUCUGGAGUACCACUGCUGAGAUGCAUUAUCGUUUCCUUUAUUGCAAAAAAACAACUUUGUCUUGAUGAUACAUCGUGAAAACCUGCACAACUACAUACAUGUAAUGUAGUUAGCAUCGCUGUAUUGCACUGCGCCGUGUUUUUGCUCUGCAGUGUGGCUGCAAGGACCAACAACUGUUAAAAUGUGCUGGGUCAACACUUAUACUAUCAGCGUCAUUCAUCACCCCGGCUAAUAAAUCAUCGCGUAGUGUAUGAGAACACAAACUCUGAACAGAAAGAUUAAUAUGCAUGGAACAGUUAACAAUUUAUCUUAAUCCAUUACCAAGUGCGCCAAAGAAAACAUAAGACGUCCUGAUGUGCGCAUCUAGGAGCGACGUAACGGGUAGCGUUAUUUCAGCACUUCGCGAGGGGUCGUCCCUUUCACACGUUCAUUAUCCAGGGCUUUUUCCUCAUAAGACUGAAAGCUGUUUAAAAUGUGAACAUAUCGCUGUUUUUUAAGUGUGAACAGGAGAGCACAGAGUUCUUGAGAGAUGUCAAAUAUUGGACAGAGACAUGAAAAUUGGCCAUGAGAGCCAAGUCCGAGGGGUAACAACCGGGGUAACUUGGGACUUGCGGGUCAAGUUGGAGAAACACUCCACGGCUAUUAGGCACGGCGGCGAGUGAGCUCCCCCCGGGGCCCCCGGUGGGCCAGCUUCACAAAUAAGACCGAGCGCUUCCCCGCCGCACUGCGCUGGUUAGAGUCCGUGAGAACGCAUCCGUCAGCGUGAACACGCAGCCCUUCGCCGCGGUGUCACCGGCGAAGAACCAACCUCAACGAGCCGCUGCUGGACCAACAGGGCCGCGGCGGACUCCUCGCCACCGGGCUCCCGCUGAGAGAACUAAUCAAAGCCUGUUGUCUCAGCACGGACAGAGGCCUAAGUGAUGUCAAACACGGGGUGGGUCCCAUUCGCUCGGCGGCCGCAGAAACACAAACUAUCCGUGCAAACGUACAUCUUCCAUCUGUGCUUUACACCGCUGUUAAUACCACGGCGUCGGGGGUUGACUCGGGUAACAAUCGCUCCGCACAAAAGGAUCUGCAUCUGCUGUUUAUCCUGCAGAGUGGAGAUGGCUUUGUGUGUACACAGUGAGUAGUUAUGGGGUCAACUGCAGUUCAAGCCAGCUAAAUGGAAUACAAACAAAAGGUCAAUUCGGCGGGGUGGGGAAAAGGCGGGUUCGUGAGAUUGCUCUCACCUUCGCGCGCGCACACGCGUGCUCGCGCAUUAAACGAAACGGGCAACGGCAGCACAGCAAAGUCCCAGGAGCCGCUCGUGUGCAGACCAAAUGGAAAAGGGACAAAUAGGAUUUUCAAAUCGUGAGAGGAAAUAACAACAGACCCCGCCGAAAAUACCUCUAGAUCCGUCUGUAUAAAUAAACAAUAAUAUAGUGUCCUGUGCUAUAGAGGCCAUGUGCCCCCCGGUCAGGAAGUGCAGGAAGAAAAAGCAGAUAAGAGAUUAUUAAGUCUCUGGAUAAUUGAACCGGGGUCAAAACCCAGCAUCUAACAGCAUGAGAUGCUGCGGUGAAAUUACUAGAUGAUUGUCAUGAUUAUGCUGUUUACUGAUUAUGUUGAACUUCCCCUGGUGACACCGAGGCUUCAUAGUCAGGCUGAUCUUCCUGAUGGAUUAUCUGCAAUGGUGCUUUUAACAGUCCCGUUUCACACCAGCGCUCGCUUUCAUGUCCCCCGUUUAUCUCUUUCCUUUUCCUGCGGCGAGGUUCUCUCUUGAUGCUUUGGAUCUGGCAAGAAAGACAGCGGCUUCUUCCAGCGACACCCGAUUAGCCUGGUAAUCACUCAAAAGCUCGCUGGGACACACGUUUGGAUCGAGAGGCAGAAGUGGGCUCGCUUACAUGUCCUUGCUGACCGUGUGUCCAAGGGUGGAGCUGGUCUGAUCAAUAUCAACUAUUGAAGGGGUGGCGGUGCGAUGUGCUGCUGUCUCUUGGCCCUCCGGCCCACCGACAGCUGUUGCACAUGUGGCCCUCAGAUCACCCGCAUGAUUUAUGCGAGCAAGAGUCUUUCAAAAACGUGUCUUUUCCUGUAAAAAUACUCCUCAGUCUACCAACGUUUACACGAUCACAUCACCCACCAGACGUCUCCUCGGUCGCUGCACUCGGGCGCAGGUGUGACGUUUGGAAACAGCGGUUUCAGUGGCGGAAUUGUGUUGUUGGUUCCAUUGUGAGGGUGGAGGAGUACCGACAUGGUACUUGUUUUGUCAAUAGCACAGCAAGAGGGUGGCUGGAAAGUUCCGCUGCAGACCAGGACUCUUGUUAAAAGGCAACCAUGACGUUGGGUUGCCUGACGUCAGCUGAAGGUUCAAACUGACUGUAAACACGCAUCCAUACGAUGCCAAUCAGAAAUCCCUUUGAGGUCCAAGAUGGGUCCAUUUGGUAAUAUAUAUAUAUAUACAUAUAUAUAUAUAUAUAUAUAUAUAUAUAUAUAUAUAUAUAUAUAUAUAUAUAUAUGUAUGUCACGUGGUUGUAAAUUCAUUCUCGUUUACAGCGACAUUAAAUGGUACACUUAUUACCCACUUAUUUCAACAAUCC